UCCCCCUAGUAACUGCGAGUGAAGCGGGAAAAGCUCAAAUUUAAAAUCUGGCGGUCUCUGGCCGUCCGAGUUGUAAUCUAGAGAAGUAAUGCCCGUGCUGGACCGUGUAUAAGUCUCCUGGGAUGGGGCGUCAUAGAGGGUGAGAAUCCCGUCUUUGACACGGACUACCAGUGCAUUGUGGUAUGCUCUCAAAGAGUCGAGUUGUUUGGGAAUGCAGCUCAAAAUGGGUGGUAAAUUCCAUCUAAAGCUAAAUAUUGGCGAGAGACCGAUAGCGAACAAGUACCGUGAGGGAAAGAUGAAAAGAACUUUGGAAAGAGAGUUAAACAGUACGUGAAAUUGCUGAAAGGGAAACGCUUGAAGUCAGUCGCGUUGACCGGGGAUCAGCCUUGCUUUUGCAUGGUGUACUUUCUGGUUGACGGGUCAGCAUCAAUUUUGACCGCUGGAAAAAGACCUGGGGAAUGUGGCAGCUUCGGCUGUGUUAUAGCCCCUAGUCGCAUACAGUGGUUGGGAUUGAGGAACUCAGCACGCCGCAAGGCCGGGUUUCGACCACGUUCGUGCUUAGGAUGCUGGCAUAAUGGCUUUAAGCGACCCGUCUUGAAACACGGACCAAGGAGUCUAACAUGCCUGCGAGUAUUUGGGUGGAAAACCCAAGUGCGUAAUGAAAGUGAAAGUUGAGAUCCCUGUCGUGGGGAGCAUCGACGCCCGGACCAGAACUUUUGGGACGGAUCCGCGGUGGAGCAUGUAUGUUGGGACCCGAAAGAUGGUGAACUAUGCCUGAAUAGGGUGAAGCCAGAGGAAACUCUGGUGGAGGCUCGUAGCGAUUCUGACGUGCAAAUCGAUCGUCAAAUUUGGGUAUAGGGGCGAAAGAC
rnacentral:rRNA from 1 species